rnacentral:rRNA from 1 species
UACAGAGGUCCCAAGCGUUGUUCGGAUUCACUGGGCGUAAAGGGUGCGUAGGUGGCAGUGUAAGUCUGAUGUGAAAGCUUCGAGCUUAACUCGAAAAUGGCAUUGGAUACUAUAUUGCUGGAGGUUUGGAGGGGGACUGGAAUUCUCGGUGUAGCAGUGAAAUGCGUAGAUAUCGAGAGGAACACCGGUGGCGAAGGCGAGUCCCUGGACAACACCUGACACUGAGGCACGAAAGCUAGGGGAGCAAACAGG